rnacentral:rRNA from 1 species
AUAGAGUUCUUCGCCCAUUGUAGGAGCGGUUCCCGUCAUCUGAUUAGGCUAGUGAUGCAGUCAACGCUGCACCAGCGACCGAUCCAGUACGUCUGAUCUGAGAGCGAUCAAUCAGGCCACCAUGGGACAUGAGGCAGCGAGCCUAGACUCCAUACCGUGACGGCCAGCAGUGAGGAUGCUGCUCCGAGUGGGUGAAGCCUGACGCAGGCAUGCACGCGUGUAUGAUGAAGAUCUUAGGAUUGUAAAGUUCUUCACCGAGGACGCAUCAGGACAGUUCCUGGCGAGCGAAGCCCCGUAUACUUCGUGCCCAGCAGCCGAUGUAAUACGAAUGGGGGUUAGCGCUUGCUCGGAAUGACUGGGCGUAUAGGGAGCGUAGGCCGACACUCAAGUCAGGGGUGAAAUCCCGGGGCUCAACCUCUGGAGUGCCUAGAUACUGGGUGUCUUGAGUAUGAGAGAGGUGUGUGGAACUCCGAGUGUAGAGGUGAAAUUCGUAGAUAUUCGGACGAACACCAGUGGCGACGGCGACAUACUGGCUCAUUACUGACAAACAGGCUCGAAAGCGUGGGGAGCACACAGGAUUAGAUACCCUGGUAGUCCACGCCGUAAACGAUGAUUGCUAGUUGUCAGGAUGCAUGCAUUUCGGUGACGCAGGGGACGCAUUAAGCAAUCCGCCUGGGGAGUACGGUCGCAAGAUUAAAACUCAAAGGAAUUGACGGGGGGCCGCACAAGCGGUGGAGCAUGUGGUUUAAUUUGAAGCAACGCGCAGAACCUUACCACCUUUUGACAUGCCUGGACCGCCACGGAGACGUGGCUUUCCCUUCGGGGACUAGGACACAGGUGUUGCAUGAUGGUCGUCAGCUCGUGUCGUGAGAUGCAGGCCUAAGUCCUGCAACGAGCCCAACCCUCGCCAUUAGUUGCCAUCAUUUAGUUGGGAACUAUAAUGGGAAGGCCGGAUUAAGCCGGAGGAAGGUGGGGAUGACGUCCAGUCCUCAUGGCCCUUACAGGGUGGGGUACACAAGGGUUACAAUGGCGAGAACAGAGGGUUAAUCCAUAAAAGUGGUCUCAGUUCGGAUUGUCCUCUGCAACUCGAGGGCAUGAAGUUGGAAUCGCUAGUAAUCGCGGAUCAGCAUGCCGCGGUGAAUACGUUCCCGGGCUUUACACACCGCCCGUCACACCCAGGGAGUUGGUUCUAUCCGAAGGCGGUUCGUUGACACGCAAGGAGGCAGGCGACCACGGAGGUUUCGCCGGGG